rnacentral:rRNA from 1 species
UACAGAGGGGGCAAGCGUUGUUCGGAAUUACUGGGCGUAAAGGGCGCGUAGGCGGCCCGCUAAGUCGAACGUGAAAUCCCUGGGCUCAACCCAGGAACUGCGUCCGAUACUGGCAGGCUUGAAUCCGGGAGAGGGAUGCGGAAUUCCAGGUGUAGCGGUGAAAUGCGUAGAUAUCUGGAGGAACACCGGUGGCGAAGGCGGCAUCCUGGACCGGCAUUGACGCUGAGGCGCGAAAGCUAGGGGAGCAAACGGG